UACGUAGGGUCCGAGCGUUGUCCGGAAUUACUGGGCGUAAAGAGCUCGUAGGUGGUUUGUCGCGUUGUUCGUGAAAACUCACAGCUCAACUGUGGGCGUGCGGGCGAUACGGGCAGACUGGAGUACUGCAGGGGAGACUGGAAGUUCCUGGUGUAGCGGUGGAAUGCGCAGAUAUCAGGAGGAACACCGGUGGCGAAGGCGGGUCUCUGGGCAGUAACUGACGCUGGAGGAGCGAAAGCCGUGGGGAGCGAACAGG
rnacentral:rRNA from 1 species